UAGUAACGGCGAGUGAAGCGGGAACAGCUCAAACUUAAAAUCUCUGUUGCUUGCAACAGCGAAUUGUAGUCUCGAGAAGCGUCUUCAAGGCGGAUGCGUCGUGCUCAAGUUGCUUGGAACAGCACAUCGUAGAGGGUGACAAUCCCGUACGUGGCACGGCGCACCGUUCACGAUGCGCUUUCUAUGAGUCGGGUUGCUUGGGAAUGCAGCCCAAAAUGGGAGGUAAACUCCUUCUAAAGCUAAAUAUUGGCACGAGACCGAUAGCGAACAAGUACCGUGAGGGAAAGAUGAAAAGCACUUUGAAAAGAAAGUUAAUAGUACGUGAAACCGUUAGGAGGGAAGCGCAUGGAAUUAGCAAUGCGUUGUCGUGACUCAGGCGGCGGACAGUGCGUACUCGUGUUUUGCGGAUCUGAAUGGACCGCUUGCACGUUUCUCGCACUGCCCACCGUCGCACUUCACGGCAGCGUGCGUCAACGGCUGUUCCGACUGUGCGAAGAGCCCCGUCAGAAGGUGGCCUGCUUCGGUGGGUGUUACAGCUGGCGGUGUGCGAGUUCGGACGGAACAGAGGCGACGCGGCACGUGCUCCUCGUGGGCUGGCCUCUUCGUUGUCGUUUGGUUGUCGAGCAUGUCGGACUGGUUCCAGUGCGAUUGAACUGCUGCCUUUCGUCGAGCGGAUGAGUGCACACAUCGUGCCAAGGUCGUUGGCGGUUAUAUGGUUUUAUGCGACCCGUCUUGAAACACGGACCAAGGAGUCUAACAUGUGUGCGAGUCUUUGGGUGACUGAAACCCCCCGGCACAAUGAAAGUAAAGGUGGCCUCGUGUCGCCGAGGUGAGAUCCGUUCUCUUCGGGGAGCGGCGCAUCAUCGACCGACCUAUUCUACUCAUAGAAAGGUUUGAGUAAGAGCACAUCUGUUGGGACCCGAAAGAUGGUGAACUAUGCUUGAGUAGGGCGAAGCCAGAGGAAACUCUGGUGGAGGCUCGUAGCGAUUCUGACGUGCAAAUCGAU
rnacentral:rRNA from 1 species